UCAAGAUAGGAAGGGCACACGGUGGAUGCCCUGGCACCCGAACCGAAGAAGGACGUGAUUACCUGCGAAAAGCUCGGGGGAGCUGGUAGUGAGCGUUGAUCCCGAGAUAUCCGAAUGGGGGAACCCACCCUCUGGGGACAGGGGGUACCGCGCGAGCGGGGGGAACGCCGGGAACUGAAACAUCUAAGUACCGGCAGGAGAAGAAAGCGAAAGCGAUUCUCUGAGUAGCGGCGAGCGAAAGGGGAGAAGCCUAAACCGAUGUGCGUGCACAUUGGGGUUGAGGGGCGUCCAAGAUCGAAGUUGAGGCCUAGCCGAGCUGUCUGGGAAGGCAGACCGAAGAGGGUGAAAGUCCCGUAGGCGAAAGGCGGAGACUAGUAGGGCGUACCCGAGUAGUCUGGUUUUCGUGGAGAACUGGGCGAAUCUGCGCGGCCCACCGCGUAAGGCUAAAUAUUCCGGGUGACCGAUAGCGAAGCAGUACCGUGAGGGAAAGGUGAAAAGAACCCCGGGAGGGGAGUGAAAUAGAACCUGAAACCGUGUGCUUACAAGCAAUCGCGGCGCGACGAAGGCGUUGCGGUGUGCCUAUUGAAGCAUGAGCCGGCGACUUACGCUAGCGUGCGAGCUUAAGGCGGGAGCCGGAGGCGUAGCGAAAGCGAGUCCGAAGAGGGCGAGGAGUGCGUUGGCGUAGACUCGAAACCUGGAGAGCUAGUCCUGGCCAGGCUGAAGCGCGGGUGACACUGCGUGGAGGGCCGAACCGGUUGGAGAUGCAAAUCCCUCGGAUGAGCUGGGAUUAGGAGUGAAAAGCUAACCGAUCCAGGAGAUAGCUAGUUCUCCCCGAAAUGACUUUAGGGUCAGCCUCGGAUGCUGAUUGCGGCCUGUAAAGCACUGAUUGGGCUAGGGGGCCUACCAGCCUACCAAACCCUGUCAAACUCUGAAGGGAUGCAAGUGGAGUCCGGGAGUGAGGGCAUGAGUGCUAACAUCCAUGUCCAAGCGCGGGAACAACCGAGAUCGCCAGCUAAGGUCCCGAAGUUCAGGCUAAGUGGAUAAGGAUGUGAGGUUGCCGAGACAGCCAGGAGGUUGGCUUAGAAGCAGCCACCCUUGAGAGAGUGCGUAAUAGCUCACUGGUCGAGUGACCUUGCGCCGAAAAUGAUCGGGGCUUAAGCCUGACACCGAAGCUGCGGACUGUACGGAAGUGCAGUGGUAGGGGAGCGUUCCCGAUGCCGAUGAAGCCAUACCGUGAGGGGUGGUGGAGGUAAGGGAAGUGCGAAUGCCGGCAUGAGUAACGAUAAAUGGGGUGAGAAUCCCCAUCGCCGAAAACCCAAGGUUUCCUACGCGAUGGUCGUCAGCGUAGGGUUAGGCGGGACCUAAGGCGAAGCCGAGAGGCGUAGUCGACGGGCAACUGGUUAAUAUUCCAGUCCCACUCUAGGUGCGAAGGAGGGACGCUCUAGGCUAGGCAGACCGGAGCCAUGGAAGAGCCCGGCCAGAAGCGCAAAGGGGGCUAUAGGCAAAUCCGUAGUCCGCUACCGGUGCGUGGUGGGGAAGGCGUGAGCUGACAACCUGCCGAAGCCAGGGAGCCGAGAAAAGCUUCUAAGCGAAACCGAAGAGUGCCCGUACCGGAAACCGACACAGGUGGGUGGGUGUAAAUGCACCAAGGCGCGCGAGAGAACCCUCGUUAAGGAACUUUGCAAUCUAGCCCCGUAACUUCGGGAGAAGGGGUGCUUCGGGUGGCGCUGCUUGCGGCGCCAUGAGAAGCCGCAGUGAAGAGGCGCUGGCGACUGUUUACCAAAAACUCAGCUCUCUGCGAACACGGAAGUGGAAGUAUAGGGAGCGACGCUUGCCCGGUGCCGGAAGGUCAAGGGGAGGGGUGAGAGCCCUGAUCCGAAGCCCCGGUGAACGGCGGCCGUAACUAUAACGGUCCUAAGGUAGCGAAAUUCCUUGUCGGGUAAGUUCCGACCUGCACGAAAAGCGUAACGAUCAGCGCGCUGUCUCAACGAGGGACUCGGUGAAAUUGAACUGGCUGUGAAGAUGCGGCCUACCCGUGGCAGGACGAAAAGACCCCAUGGAGCUUUACUGUAGUCUGGCAUUGGCUUCUGGACAGAUCUGCGUAGGAUAGGUGGGAGCCUGGGAUCCCUGGUUUUCGGGCUGGGGUGAGGCGACGGUGAAAUACCACCCUGAUGUGUUCGGGAGCCUAACCCCUGGGAGGGGGACAGUGCUUGAUGGGCAGUUUGACUGGGGCGGUCGCCUCCCAAAGCGUAACGGAGGCGCCCAAAGGUUCCCUCAGCGUGGACGGAAACCACGCGGUGAGCGCAAGGGUAGAAGGGAGCCUGACUGUGAGGCGGGCAAGCCGAACAGGAGCGAAAGCUGGGCCUAGUGAACCGGUGGUACCGUGUGGAAGGGCCAUCGAUCAACGGAUAAAAGUUACCCUGGGGAUAACAGGCUGAUGAUUCCCGAGCGUCCAUAGCGGCGGAAUCGUUUGGCACCUCGAUGUCGGCUCGUCACAUCCUGGGGCUGAAGAAGGUCCCAAGGGUUGGGCUGUUCGCCCAUUAAAGUGGCACGCGAGCUGGGUUCAGAACGUCGUGAGACAGUUCGGUCUCUAUCCGUCACGGGCGAAGGAAGUUUGAGGGGGGCUGCUCCUAGUACGAGAGGACCGGAGUGGACGUACCGCUGGUUUUCCAGCUGUUCUUCCAAGGGCAGAAGCUGGGUAGCCAAGUACGGGAGAGAUAACCGCUGAAAGCAUCUAAGCGGGAAACUUGCCCCAAGAUGAGACUUCCCACGGAGAGAUCCGGUAAGGACCCUGCAAGACGAGCAGGUGAAUCGGCUGGAGGNGGAAGGGCAGCGAUGUCCGAAGCUGACCAGUGCGAAUGGUCCGAGGUCUUGACCUC
rnacentral:rRNA from 1 species